GACGAACGCUGGCGGCGUGCCUCAUACAUGCAAGUCGAGCGAGCGGCGGACGGGUGAGUAAUGUCUGGGGACUGCCCGAUAGAGGGGGCUAACUACUGGAAACGGUGGCUACUACCGCAUACUAUCGGAUAACCCAUAUGGGAUUAGCUAGUAGGUGGGGUAAAGGCUCACCUAGGCGACGAUCUCUAGCUGGUCUGAGAGGCUGAACAGCAACACUGGGACGGAGACACGGCCCAGACUCCUACGGAGGCAGCAGUGGGGAAUAGUGCACAAUGGGCGCAAGCCUGAUGCAGCCAUGCCGCGUGUAUGAAGAAGGCCUUAGGGUUGUAAAGUACUUUCAGCGGGGAGGCGUUACCCGCAGAAGAAGCACCGGCUAACUCCGGGCCAGCAGCCGCGGUAAUAC
rnacentral:rRNA from 1 species